rnacentral:rRNA from 1 species
CCAAUAGCGUAUAUUAAAGUUGUUGCAGUUAAAAAGCUCGUAGUUGAAUUUCGGGGUUAGUAGGCUGGUCAUGCCUCUGGUAUGUACUGGUCUCACUGAUUCCUCCUUCCUGAUGAACCGUAAUGCCAUUAAUUUGGUGUUGCGGGGAAUUUGGACUGUUACUUUGAAAAAAUUAGAGUGUUUAAAGCAGGCUAACGCUUGAAUACAUUAGCAUGGAAUAAUGAAAUAGGACGUUCGAUCCUAUUUUGUUGGUUUCUAGGAUUGACGUAAUGAUUAAUAGGGAUAGUUGGGGGCAUUAGUAUUCAAUUGUCAGAGGUGAAAUUCUUGGAUUUAUUGAAGACUAACUACUGCGAAAGCAUUUGCCAAGGAUGUUUUCAUUAAUCAAGAACGAAAGUUAGGGGAUCGAAGACGAUCAGAUACCGUCGUAGUCUUAACCAUAAACUAUGCCGACUAGGGAUCGGAUGAUGUUAAUUUUUUAAUGACUCAUUCGGCGCCUUACG